rnacentral:tRNA from 1 species
AUUCACAUGGCCGAGUGGUUUAGGCGCUAGACUUUUACUUCAAGGAUCAGUGGUUCAAGCCCAGUUGUUAAUU